rnacentral:pre_miRNA from 1 species
ACAACAUCUGGACCGUCAGUCUACUGAGCAAUUACACCCGCUCUAUGGAGGAUCUCCCCUCCGUCGU